AACGCACGAGACCUGCGGACCUGCGGAGGGAUCAUUACCGAGUGCGGGCCCUCUGGGUCCAACCUCCCACCCGUGUUUAUUGUACCUUGUUGCUUCGGCGGGCCCGCCAUUCUGGCCGCCGGGGGCUUGCCCCCGGGCCCGCGCCCGCCGAAGACACCCUCGAACUCUGUCUGAAGAUUGUAGUCUGAGUGGAAUUAUAAAUUAUUAAAACUUUUAACAAUGGAUCUCUAGAUCGGAAGA
rnacentral:misc_RNA from 1 species